rfam:Schistosoma rodhaini strain Burundi genome assembly, scaffold: SROB_scaffold0020982
AUCCAGCUGACGAGUCCCAAAUUUGACGAAACGCGCGUCCUGGAU